CUCAAAGGAGACUGCCGGUGAUAAACCGGAGGAAGGUGGGGAAGAAAACAAGUCAUCAUGGCCCUUACGAGUAGGGUUACACACGUGUACAAUGGCAGAUACAAAGAGAAGCGACCUCGCGAGAGCAAGCGGAACUCAUAAAGUCUGUCGUAGUCCGGAUUGGAGUCUGCAACUCGACUCCAUGAAGUCGGAAUCGCUAGUAAUCGUAGAUCAGAAUGUACGGUGAAUAC
rnacentral:rRNA from 1 species